AUAUUCUUUAAAAUUAUAUAAUAGUAUUAUAUUGCUAACAAUAUUAUACUAUUAUUAUUAUACAACCAUUUGUGUACUUAAGUGUGUGCAGGUAAUUCCGCUAUUAACUUGCAUUAAUCGAAAAGAGGCUAUUAUCCCCCCUUAUAGCCUCGGAUCUCGAUCCAACAAGUGGUAUCAGAGCCAAGUAUCGUUGAAGUUUGACUAACAUCUUACAACAACAACUAUGGCACCAAAUGGUGAAUUCAACACUGGUCUUGCGUCAAACAAACCUCCCAGGUUCGAUGGAGUAAAGUAUGACUUCUGGAAGAACAAAAUGAAGUUAUACUUGAAGUCAAUCAACAAUGGAGUAUGGAAGAUCAUAUUAGAGGAUUAUGAAAUUCCAACAAGC
rnacentral:lncRNA from 1 species